CAUUAGCAUAAAACUUACAGUGCAGUUUGGGUUUUUGGUGAAUAACCAGGUGUUUUCUUUAUAUUUGUACAUUCUAUAUUGUCAAUGUUUAAUUUAACCUGAAGGGGCAUUUAAAACAAAUAAUGGCAAAAGUGCCCUCUGGUGGCGUAUAUAUGCGUUGCACCAUAAGCGAAGAUGAGCCUCCAGACGUGACAGUUUUUUUUCUUUUCAAACUGAGGAGUUCGGACUCCGGACCGGCAUUUCUGCUUGUUGGUACCCUGAGAUAACCAUGGUUAAUAAAUGGUCCGUUAUGACACGUCACUGGCUUUAAAAUAUAAACCCCAUUGAUGCAAAAAGAUGCUGCAUGGAAUGACAAUGAGGUUUGGAACAGACUUGGUGAAGAACAUGGAAACAUCUCUAAAUAACAUGGCCCCAACCAUCAUCAGGAGUGCAAAAGAAUGAAGUAAAAAACAUCUCUACGCCAAUCUCAUUGGAACAGCAGAGGAAACCACAGAAGGUCUGGUGAGGAAUGCUGCACUUAUGUUAUUGCAAGCAUUAUUUUAAGAAAAUCCCAGCUUCCUUUGCUGUGUAAAUAGUGAACCCAAAGGUCCCACACCAACCAUAGUGUUCAACGGCUCUCCUGAUCCUCUC